rnacentral:rRNA from 1 species
CGAGAUUCCCCCAGUAGCGGCGAGCGAACGGGGAGCAGCCCAGAGCCUGAAUCAGUGUGUGUGUUAGUGGAAGCGUCUGGAAAGGCGCGCGAUACAGGGUGACAGCCCCGUACACAAAAAUGCACAUGCUGUGAGCUCGAUGAGUAGGGCGGGACACGUGGUAUCCUGUCUGAAUAUGGGGGGACCAUCCUCCAAGGCUAAAUACUCCUGACUGACCGAUAGUGAACCAGUACCGUGAGGGAAAGGCGAAAAGAACCCCGGCGAGGGGAGUGAAAAAGAACCUGAAACCGUGUACGUACAAGCAGUGGGAGCACGCUUCGGCGUGUGACUGCGUACCUUUUGUAUAAUGGGUCAGCGACUUAUAUUCUGUAGCAAGGUUAACCGAAUAGGGGAGCCGAAGGGAAACCGAGUCUUAACUGGGCGUUAAGUUGCAGGGUAUAGACCCGAAA